rnacentral:rRNA from 1 species
AAUCAACGCUGGCGGCGUGCCUAACACAUGCAAGUCGAACGCGAAAAUGGAGCAAUCCAUGAGUAGAGUGGCAAACGGGUGAGUAACACGUGGGUGACCUGCCUUCGAGUGGGGGAUAACGUCCCGAAAGGGACGCUAAUACCGCAUAAUAUGCUGUCUUUUAAGAGAGAGACAUCAAAGCCGGGGACCGCAAGGCCUGGCGCUUGAAGAGGGGCCCGCGCCUGAUUAGCUAGUUGGUGGGGUAAUGGCUCACCAAGGCAACGAUCAGUAUCCGGCCUGAGAGGGCGGACGGACACACUGGGACUGAGACACGGCCCAGACUCCUACGGGAGGCAGCAGUGGGGAAUUGUUCGCAAUGGGCGCAAGCCUGACGACGCAACGCCGCGUGGAGGAUGAAGAUCUUCGGGUCGUAAACUCCUUUCGAUCGAGACGAAUGGCCCUUGGGAUAGUACCCUGAGGGAGUGACGGUACCGAGAGAAGAAGCCCCGGCUAACUCCGUG